UGUUUAAGAACAUGACUUAUUCAUUUCUUUGUAGUUGCAUGUAUUUGCUUUAUGUCAAGUACUCUGUAAAUGCAGAGUGUCAUGAAAUGGACUUUGCCACUUCUGCUUUGUUGCCUUUUCAAAAAAAUAAAAAUAAAAAUCAUUCAAGUAAUUAUAGACUCUGGUGCAACUUACAUUAUUGAGACACACAUUCUUCUAAUUGUUCUAGCCUCGCUAUAGCAAAUAAACAUAAUUCUUGGAAAUUUGCACAUCAUUUUUCCUUUAUUAGCAAACUACAUAACUGUCCUAGGAAUGUUUUCAGGGAAUAUUUCUUAGGCUGAACAAAUUCUAGGACAUAGGACUUUGGAAUUUCAACACCUCAGAUAACGUUUAUUCAAUGCUAAAAGUUUUAGAAUAUCACAUGUUAUUCAUGCAAGUUUUAAUAAGCCCACCGCUAGAAUCAUAUCGAGAGUGCAACAUAAGCUGAUGCUCCUAAGAGAGCCCUCGAGGCAUAAAACUCCCUGUUGUCAGUAGACAAUCCAUAUAUUCGUAGCAAAUUCUAUAAAUAGUUGACAUAAGUUAUGGUUAAUCUCGUGAAGUGCUAAUUUCUCAGUAGGUGGAUUUUUCAUUUAUAUGAAUCUAUGUUUUAAUAUAACAAUCAAAUAGUAACAGGUUGGUUUUGUAUUUGAGUAAUCAUCGGAUGAGUGCGAUAUCUAUAAAUUUGUUUUGCACUGAAAUCAGGAUCUGAUGAAAGGCGAAAUUCGACAUUCUCUAUCGGCAUGGCUGCUUGAUUUCUUUAAAUUUUGGGUUUAAGGGCUUUUUCGACUUUGAUAUAAUCUGAUGCAACGUAUCCUUCAAUUCUGAAACUGAAUAGCCAUCGAAUUAGCAUGCCACCCAAUUUAGUUUAUCAGAAACACGUGUUUUAUCCUUUUUAGUGUAAGGAUCUUAUGUGUAACUUGAGCUUAACCCUGCGCCUUAACAUAUUGUUGCCGCUCUCUAUGCUCUGAUGCUCAGGUUAGGGUUUAAGGCUCAAACUUCCUCUUGCUACCAAAUCAUCUGACGAAGGAUGAGAAAGCUGUACUUGAUUUAAAUGGGACAAAUUCGCUCUCUACCAAAUCAUAUUGCAAAGAAGUCGGUUGUAAUCUUUGCUGGGGAUUCAAUCGAGGGUCAGAGAUUAAAUCUUGAAGGAGAAGAGCUUACGGCAGGAACCCCUUAAGCUUACCGUCCUCAAAUUGGAUGUCUCUUCUUUCGAUAUUGAAGUGUGUAGAAAUGGGAGCUUGGAAACUCACAAAAGGGUGGUGCAGCUCUUCAGAAUUUCCCGAAGGAUCGAAGUGGAACCGGGUUCCUAAUUCUGCACAUCAAAGGAAAACAGUUCCUGUGUCUCUGACUAACAUGCAAGUAUUGCUGCUUUGAGACGGACGGAUUGUAGUUGGCAAAGUGAGUUACUUUACCUUUUCUAAGAACCAGCACAAGGUAAUUUGUUCUAAUUUUUAGGAGUUAACAGAAAACAAGAAACAAUUGGACUUAUAAAUUUGAUUUUUUGGCAGUUUCUCUGUUAUCCCUACUCUUCAAUGAUUCUCCUAUGAAGCUUAUCUCUUUUUCCUAAAACACACAUAUUAUAUGUGGAGGGAAAGUUUGAUAUUGUACAAAGGAAAUUAACGAUAAAGGCAUCAUAUUUGAAAUGGGGAGACCAUUGGCAGAAAACCAAGGUUUGGUUUUUUAAUGUUCUUUAUCCUUCCCUCUGCUGUUGACAUAUGAAUCCCGUCUUAUCAACACCCACGGGACGUGUGGAUAAGCCUUUUUGGAUGUUCUGAUACAUGGGUUUGCCCUAUAAAAACCCCCGGGUUGUAUCUUACAUACUUGUAAUUGUGCAAGAUUGGCGGAUAAAAGAGAUGCCUGUUUAUGUUUAUAUUUUAUGCAGGAAUAUUAUGAGGUUAUUUCUGUUGUGCAUCAUGGUUAUCUGGUUGAUCUUUACGGCCUUGCUAACCAUAUAGGUAAAGUUCUAAGCUUGCAGGUGGCAUGACACUUUUUUAGAAAUACGUCCAUGCAUAUUGCUGGUGAACUCAUACUGUGAGAUGAUUUACCACACAGUAAACUUGGCGCCAA